AAACAAAAGAGUUUGAUCCUGGCUCAGAUUGAACGCUGGCGGCGUGCUUUACACAUGCAAGUCGAGCGGCAGCAUGUCCUUCGGGAUGAUGGCGAGCGGCGAACGGGUGAGUAAUACAUCGGAACGUACCUUUUAGUGGGGGAUAACGCAUCGAAAGAUGUGCUAAUACCGCAUAAUCUCUGAGGAGGAAAGGCGGGGACCUUCGGGCCUGUCG
rnacentral:rRNA from 1 species